rnacentral:rRNA from 1 species
GACGUAGGGGGCAAGCGUUGUUCAGAAUUAUUGGGCGUAAAGCGCUCGUAGGCGGGACAGGAAGUUCGUGUUGAAAGACCUCGGCUCAACUGAGGGACCGGCUCGAAUACUCUUGUUCUUGAGGCAAUCAGAGGGUGAUGGAAUUCCCGGUGUAGCGGUGAAAUGCGUAGAUAUCGGUAGGAACACCAGUGGCGAAGGCGGUCUCUUGGGGCAUUCUUGACGCUGAGGCGCGAAAGCUGGGGGAGCGAACGGG